rnacentral:rRNA from 1 species
ACCUGCCCACUGAUUAAUUUAAUGGCCGCAGUAAUUUGACUGUGCGAAGGUAGCAUAAUCAUUAGUUUUUUAAUUAAAAGCUUGUAUGAAGGGUUGGACGAGGUAAAAUCUGUCUCUAUUUAAUUUAAUAUAGAAUUUAAUUUUUAAGUUAAAAAGCUUAAAUAUUAAUAAAAGACGAGAAGACCCUAUAGAUCUUUAUAUUUUUAUUAUUAAUUUUAUUUAAGAUUUUUUUAUUUUUUAUUUAUAGUAAUAUUUUAUUGGGGUAAUAAUUAGAUUAAUAAAAUUCUUUUUUCAUAUAUAUAUAGAUUAAUAGUUAUUUGAUCCAAUUAUUUUGAUUAUAAGAUUAAGUUACCUUAGGGAUAACAGCGUAAUUUUUUUAGAGAGUUCAUAUCGAUAAAAAAGUUUGCGACCUCGAUGUUGGAUUAAAAAUUAUUUUAGCUGUAAAAGGUUAAAAAUUUGGUCUGUUCGACCAUUAAAUUUUU